rnacentral:tRNA from 1 species
GGCUCGUUCGUCUAGGGGUUUGGACGCCGCCCUCUCAAGGCGGUAACACGGGUUCGAAUCCCGUACGGGCUAC